CUUCCUGUGUUCCUAGCUCAUUAUAAUGGCAGCUAACACCCCACGGACAUCCACAGGAGCACUUCAGCCGAUGAAAUGUAGGUACUGGCAGUUGGAGGUCUGCUCAACAUGUAUUGAGGAGUUGGGCACAUUUUCUUCCUCUUUGUAUUGCCAUGGAAAGGAGAUGACCAAGUAUGUUCUCAUAAUACAAGGAAACAGGAUUCACAUCUGGAGUGAUCAUAUUAAUUUGGAGUGAAUUAUUAGAAAGUUCACUGUGGCCAUAAAUGAGCUUGUAUGAGGCAGAAAUCAUGGAGACUAAGUAAUAAGGGAAGACAAGGAAAGUAUGGAAAAAAUCCAAGUUAACCAAACCAAAAAACCUUGAUUAAUUACAGCAGAAUUCCUGAUCUCCUUAUUAUACAAUGUAGUUGCUAAAACUAAUAAAUGUUCUCUUUUUUUAGCUACAAUAAAACAAAGAAGCUGUUUUGUUUUCUAACAAUUUCAAUAGUUAGCGAAGUUCUAUUAACCCAAGGAAUACCUCAGCUCCUUAAACAGAAACAUUUCAAGUCACACAUCCUACUGUAAAAAUAUCCCAGAAGGAUUUUUUUUUUAAACAUAAGC